GACGAACGCUGGCGGCGUGCCUAAUACAUGCAAGUCGAACGCAGUGGGGACGGGUGAGUAACACGUGGGUAACCUCCCAUCAGAGGGGAUAACACUUGGAAACAGGUGCUAAUCAGAUACAGAUGGAUGGCCCCGCGGAGCAUUAGCUAGUUGGUGAGGUAACGGCUCACCAAGGCCACGAUGCAUAGACAACCUGAGAGGGUGAGCGGCCACACUGAGACUGAGACACGGCCCAUACUACUACGUGAGGCAGCGGUAGGGAAGCAUCGGCAAUGGACGAAAGUCUGACCGAGCAACGCCGCGUGAGUGAAGGAGGUUUUCGGAUCGUAAAACUCUGAUGUUAGAUAAGCGGUAUGUAACCAGAAAGCCACGGCUAACUACGGGCCAGCAGCCGCGGUAAUUC
rnacentral:rRNA from 1 species